rnacentral:lncRNA from 1 species
CCUUGAAGACUCCUUCAAUUUGCAUUCAAACCCCUCCACUAUUCAUGCCUUUCAAGAUUUGCCCCUACCUAAAAAUAACAUCUUCAAAUAUGACACAUGUGUGGCUGACCAUGGGGGGAGUCUUUGGCUACUGAUUUUGGCUAUUUUUAGCAGCCUUCUUAACCUAUAACUACCCCCCUUGGCUGCUCACUUCAAACACAUCUCAAAACCAUUCAUUAUUCACUUCUCUCUCACUUCUCUCUCUUCAUUGUUCUUCAUUUCCUUCCCC